GACAGAGGUGCCGAGCGUUAGGCGGAAUCACUGGGCUUAAAGCGUGUGUAGGCGGACUUCUAAGUACCUUGUGAAAGCCCCGGGCUCAACCUGGGAAUUGCAUUCGAGACUGAAUAGCUAGGGUACGGUAGAGGGAAGCGGAAUUUCCGGUUUAGCGGUGAAAUGCGUAGAUAUCGGAAGGAACAUCAGUGGCGAAAGCGGCUUCCUGGACCAGUACCGACGUUCAGGCACGAAAGCGUGGGGAGCAAACAGG
rnacentral:rRNA from 1 species